rnacentral:rRNA from 1 species
UACGGAAGGCAGCAGUGGGGAAUAUUGCACAAUGGGCGCAAGCCUGAUGCAGCCAUGCCGCGUGUAUGAAAAAGGCCUUCGGGUUGUAAAGUACUUUCAGUCGUGAGGAAGGUGUUAAGGUUAAUAACCUUAGCAAUUGACGUUAGCGACAGAAGAAGCACCGGCUAACUCCGUGCCAGCAGCCGCGGUAAUACGGAGGGUGCGAGCGUUAAUCGGAAUUACUGGGCGUAAAGGGCACGCAGGCGGUUAAUUAAGUUGGAUGUGAAAUCCCCGGGCUUAACCUGGGAAUGGCAUCCAAGACUGGUUAGCUAGAGUCUUGUAGAGGGGGUAGAAUUCCAUGUGUAGCGGUGAAAUGCGUAGAGAUGUGGAGGAAUACCGGUGGCGAAGGCGGCCCCUGGACAAAGACUGACGCUCAUGUGCGAAAGCGUGGGGAGCAAACAGGGAUUAGAUACC